GCUUACGGCCAUACCAACCUGGCUAUGCCCGAUCUCGGUCUGAUCUCGGAAGCUAAGCAGGUUUGGGCCUGGUUAGUACUUGGAUGGGAGACCGCCUGGGAAUACCAGGUGCUGUAAGCU
rnacentral:rRNA from 1 species